AACGCACAUUGCGCCCCUUGGUAUUCCGGGGGGCAUGCCUGUUCGAGCGUCAUUUCAACCCUCAAGCCUAGCUUGGUCUUGGGCUCUGCCGGCAACGGCUGGCCUUAAAAUUAGUGGCGGUGCUAUCAAGCUCUACGUGUAGUAAUUAAACCCUCGCGUGUGAGUCUUGGUUAGACGCUUGCCAGCAACCCCCAAUUUUCUAUGGUUGACCUCGGAUCAGGUAGGGAUACCCGCUGAACUUAA
rnacentral:misc_RNA from 2 species